GGAGCUUGAGUAGAUGGUUCUGCGUUUUGAUUGCAAAUUAAAAUAAAGGGAUUCGAUUUCCCCGAGCUCCU
rnacentral:tRNA from 1 species